AAUACCGCGUGUGUGAAGAAGGCCUGAGGGUUGUAAAGCACUUUCAGUGGGGAGGAAGGGUUAUUGGUUAAUACCCAAUAGCAUUGACGUUACCCACAGAAGAAGCACCGGCUAACUCCGUGCCAGCAACCUCGGUGACUGAGCGGGCUGGCAAGGCGCAUA
rnacentral:rRNA from 1 species